AAAGUACUUUCUCUGUCCAAUAAAAGAUGUCUCAAGUUUGUCAAAAUUUGAAUGUAUCUAGAUAUAACUUAGUGUAUAGAUACAUUUAAAUUUAGUCAAAGUUGAGACAUCUUUUAUUGGACAGAGGGAGCAGUAA
rfam:Brachypodium distachyon strain Bd21 chromosome 5, whole genome shotgun sequence.